rnacentral:lncRNA from 1 species
UCCCACCAACCAAGCGCCAGAUCCCUCGUCUUUCCUGCGCCGCACCUCCCUCUGUGCUUCUUCUCGAGCAGGAGGUCAUCCUCUAGGCCCUCCCCGUGCCACCAGGAGCAGCACCAGGAUGCCAGAGCCCCGACCUCCUCUGCUGGUGCUCGUGCUGUAGCGGCAACACGACCAGGGCGCAGUGCAGUUACCCCGUUCCUCCUUCUCUUCCUUCCUCCUUCCUCUCUCUCUCACUUUGUUCAUUCUCCCUCUCGCUCGUGCAGGUCAGUUGCGAGGCGCCGGCCAUUGGAUCAACCGCCACGCCCCUCCGGCGAGCAGUAGCCACGGUUCCGCAGCCUGGCGCCGCCCCGGCCUUGCCCCUUCACAGCUGCGCGGGGAAGGAGCUCCCGUGCCCUUGCUGCAGCCACGCCCUGGCAGCCCGGAGAGCACGUUGGGCCUCGCUGCCGAUUGGGAACGGGUCGGACACCCCCGGAUCGGGCCCCGACGAAGGUCCCCGACCCUGGCCCCGCGGUCAGGACCUCUCCUGUUGCAUCUCUGCAUCGCCAUGGCGCUGACCUCUGUUUCCCACUGUGAGCCUGAACCUGAACCUCAGUUUUUUCCCAGAUAUGUUGUGUUGUGCUGGUCAUUUAGCGUUGUUGUCAUGUUUUGUGACAAGAAGACGCAAUAGCAGGGUGGUUAGCUCCACCGUGGUGAGAACACUAGGUGGUUAUCCUACUAUCCCAGCUAGUUGUUUUGUUAAUGGGCACCGCUAGGGAUCAGACUACUGAUCCCUAGUGUUGCAUCAGACCAUCCGAACGCUGUAGGAUGAGGCUGCUUCUGCCCGUUAGAUUAGUAUAGGUCCCUCGAACCUUUGUCAGGUAGUUUUCUAGUAAUCAGCUUCAUAGAAUUAAUUGCUUCCAGAAAUCACGGCUGGACACAAUCUAUAACGUGGGUCCACCUUUGUUUUCCUGUACUAAUUUUGUUCCACAAACUAAUCACGUCCAAAAAUCAAGCAGGGAAUUCCUCAAAAAAGAAGAAGCAAGUAUCGCCUUAUUUUCUAUGAACCGAAAAUCUUUUCCUACUAAACUUAGCUUCCAGUACAUGUUAAAUUUGCUUCCAUACCCAAUUUUUUUUAUGUCCAAUGUAACAAUUUAUUUUUAUUUAGAGACAGAAUUGUGCAUAAAUUUGUUGUCUUCCGGUCUUACUCCAUGUUACUUCCAACCACCAUAAAAGUUUGUUUCAACCUAAUUUGUUUCAACUUAAUUUUCCAAAUAUGCUUCCAUAACAUUUAUAGAUUUUCUCUAAUCACGUUGCUGCCAUAUGCUUCCGAUAUUCGCUCCAUGUCCAUACAAUCGGAGGAGUUUUCAUAUAUGCACGAUGCUUCCUUUUAUUCCAUAUUCGUUUCCAUCAUAUGCUUCCAGCAGUACAUGACAUGCUUCAUAAUUCAUGGUCACAUUUUUCUCCGGGCAUUGUCAUGAUUUGUUUUGUGCUAUGAAGCACACGUGUUUGUAUGUCGAAGCACAAUUUUAUUUGGUUGAAGCAUGAAAUGUAGUUCCAAGUUCCUUAUACCAUCACAAUGUUAGUGUAGAAAAAGAAGCGCGCGUCAUUGUAUUUCGAAGCACAAUUUUAUUUGGUUGAAGCGUGAAAUGUAGUUUGAGAGUUACUUUGUUGCAAUGAGCCAUCAGAAACAUAGUUUGAGAGUUACUGAAGCUUGAACAAAAUGUUACCAAUUUACCAUGUUUGUAUAAACAACAAAGCAAAUUAACACGUAAAUGCUUCGAUACAUGCUACAUAUGAUACCGAAGCAUAUAUGUGAAACUAAACUAAAGGAAACACAUACAUAGGUAGUAUGACAAUGCACAGGAUAUGAAGCAUUGCCUCUUUGACAAUGAAGCAUGUCACUCCCACUAUUUAGAGCCAGAGACGUCGAGGAACCAGAAGCAUCGAUGGCAGGAUGUAUGAGAGAUGAUGCCAACCUGAAGAUCGAUUAGGAGUACCAUGGAUGCAACGUCGCUGGAGAAGAUGCCAACAUGGCGGCAAGAUGAUUGCGUCGUAUCCUAUGACAUUCAAUGUCCCCGCUGCCCGUUGAUUGUGCCGUAUCCUAUCACGUUCAAUGUCCCCACUGCUCGUUGGUGGUAUUUGGAAGAAGCAUCAAUGUCUUGCAAUCUCAAGAUAACACAAUAGUAUAGAAAAACGAAAGCAUGUCUAGAAUGUUGCAAACUCUAUACUGCGAAGGUCCACGAGAAUGACACAUAUGAAGCAUGGAUAUUUGGAUGUCAGGGAAAAGCCAUGAACUUGGCUCAAGCUUCACUCAGCUUCUUGAAGCCGUGUCGGUCGGCCAUGGCCAGCGUGGCUGCCACGGUCUCGAUGUCGAGGCUCUUGCACAAGACACGCUCGCAGAUCGCCCUUAGCCUGCCCAUGCCGUGCCGCUCCGCGGCGAUAAGGAGGUGCCGGAUCAUCGCCUUGUGACCGGCGCCAUCAAGGCCACCCAGGACGGGCAGCGCGUCUGUGUAGGCGAACUGGAUCAGCGCCCAGACCGACUGUGCCGGCAUGUCUCCGCCAUCCACGGAGAUCUGCACCUUCCGGUCGCUGCACGUCGUCGCCGUGUGGAUGUGGCGCUUGAGAAAGCCAGGCGCCCGAGCGUCGAGGAUGCAGUAAUGCGCGCCGAUCGUCCCUCCUUCGAGUUGGAUGAUCGCGUCCGGCUCCCCCCUUGCCGUAGCCGACUUGCUGGAAGAGCGCNNNNNNNNNNNNNNNNNNNNNNNNNNNNNNNNNNNNNNNNNNNNNNNNNNNNNNNNNNNNNNNNNNNNNNNNNNNNNNNNNNNNNNNNNNNNNNNNNNNNNNNNNNNNNNNNNNNNNNNNNNNNNNGGCAGGAUCGAUCUAUGCCAGGAUGGAGCACCAGCGUUGUCGCCCGAGGGUCGCAUCGGUGUAGAAGACGAUGUCGUUUGGACAAGCAACGGGCAGAACUGACCGGCAGGGCGGCCGUGCUGCUCGACGGCGGGAAGAGUGGGAAGCGGCUGCAUGUNNNNNNNNNNNNNNNNNNNNNNNNNNNNNNNNNNNNNNNNNNNNNNNNNNNNNNNNNNNNNNNNNNNNNNNNNNNNNNNNNNNNNNNNNNNNNNNNNNNNNNNNNNNNNNNNNNNNNNNNAAGCGGCUGCAUGUGAGGCGGGGUAUAAGGAAAUUUGGGCGAGGCGCUCCGGGCGGUGCGUGGAGCUGGACGAGCUCAAUCUGGUGUGGUUGCAGCUGGAAUAUAGGAGAGAUUAAUUAGGGAGAGAUUAGCGGAUGAUUUAUGGUGGGCCUACGUGCAGUUAAUUCCCUGCCCAUGUCUUAUUUUUUUACAAAAGCAACACGGUUUGUGAGGCGUUAGAUUUUAAUUGAAUGGAUGGCAUUGAAAUGGUCUGAUGCUGGACUUCUAUCAGACUAUAGAUAACAAGUGUUUACCUUUGUUAAUUUUGGGAGUGACACUACACCUGGAACGCAGCUAUUCCCUUUGAUGGUUAUCCUACUAUCCNNNNNNNNNNNNNNNNNNNNNNNNNNNNNNNNNNNNNNNNNNNNNNNNNNNNNNNNNNNNNNNNNNNNNNNNNNNNNNNNNNNNNNNNNNNNNNNNNNNNNNNNNNNNNNNNNNNNNNNNNNNNNNAUCCUACUAUCCCAGCUGCCCAGCUGGUUAGCGCGUAGCUUUCUAAGCGCCAGGUCCCGGGCUCGAAUCUAGUGCACCUCGCAUUUUUAUUUCUUUUGGUUGUCUCGGUUUCCUUUUGGUUGUCUCGUGUAUGGUUUAUAUAGGGCCGCAUCCACCCUGUAUCGCAUGUCUACUUUGGUGUAGUCGGUCGUCCUAGUGAGCCAAUAUCCUGGUGGUCCAGGGAUCAAAUCCUCACGGCCUAUCUUUUAUUUUAACCUUGUGAAUUUCUUUUUCUUUUGCAUGCAUGUUGCAUUCAUGUCAUAUGAUCUUGUGUGGCCGUAUCUCUUAACCGGAGAUUCGUCCAAUGUGCUAUAUGUGUGAACCAACUGGAAUGUCAUGGUGAAUCACAUGAUCCAAUCCUUGCCAUGAUUAAACAAUAUUUAAUAUUGCCGUGUAUCAAAAGGGAGUGAACUAAGUAAUUCAAAUGUGGAGUUUCGUUAACUCGUUGCAUAUUGAGCUUCACUUAAUGUGUAGCGUUUGAUUGUUGUGAGUUGCCAUGCCAUGACAUGUCUUGCAUAUUUGAUGAUCAUGCAUCAUAUCUUGCAUGUGACGUGGUGAAUAUCGUGUGUUUAUUCUUGUUUUCGGUUUUCUUUGUCUAGAUAGAGUUCCGCAAGCGUGUCGGAAUGUGAGGAUCCGUUCGACUACGUUAGUUCGUCUGCUUCCCAGAUUCGUUCUUCUUCCAAGCAGGAUCUCACGCAAGAUGAUCAUUUCCCUAGAUACCAUUACUAUCAUUGCCAUGCUAGUUGUUUCGUUUCUAUCACUAUGUCUCGAUGCCUACCACGUGUUUAAUAAGCCUCCCAAUAUUUUCAUGAAAACCUUCAACCUUUCUACAACCUAGCAAACCACUGAUUGACUAUGUUACCGCUUGCUUAACCAUUGGAUAGCGUUGCUAGUUGCAGGUGCAGUUGCUUUCAUGUGAUAACAUGGGUUCCUUAUUAUAUCACCAUAUUAUUGGUAAUUAAAUUAAUGCACCUCUAUACUUGGUAAAAGGUAGAAGUCUUGGCUUUCUAGGCUGGUGUUUUGUUCCAUCUUUACAGCCCUAGUUUCGGCUACCGGUGUUAUAUUCCAUAAUUGAGCGCUCCUAAAACGAUCGGGGUUGUUAUGGGGAUCCCCUUUAUAAUUCGUUUUAGAUUAAGACAUGUGCGGCAAGGCCAAACUUUGGUACUACGUUUCCCUAACAACCUAAUAAAAAGCAUAGGGACCCGUCGGCACCCGCGGAUAAUUAAUCAACCCACGGGCUAGUGCUCCUCAUCAGUGUUGGUCCGAACUAAGCAAUGCCCGGCGCCCCCUGGUCAUCCGGGGGUUUCAGCUAGCCCGACGUCUAGCUCAUCCGAUCGUGCCCUGAGAACGAGAUACGCGGCUCGUAUCGAGUCUAUCGGCACGCCGGGCGGCCUUGCUGGAUUAGUUUUACCGUUUACGAAAUAUCUUGUGCAUCGGGAUUCUGGUGAUGCUUUGGUUUAUCUUAGAGUUGAGGUUUUCCACUAAGGAGUUUGAGGAGAUCACGAGUUUCGUGAUCGAGGCUUUCUAUGUGUCUCGUUGAUACGUCCCAAACGUAUUUAUAAUUUCUGCUACCUCCAUGUAAGUUUUAGGUGAUAUUGCUUUGUGUUUUGUACACUUUCAUACCUUUUUCAACAUAUUCGGACUAACAUACUAACUCAGUGCACCCAGAGCCAGUUUUUGUGUGCUGAUGUGCGUGAAUUGAAGGUUUAUACCCAUAUUUAUAGUGCCCAAAAAAUUCCACAAAAAAUAUAUAAGAAAUCAGCGUUCCAGAAGACUCCAAACAACCGAAGGAGGGCCAGAGGGGGCCCAACAGGCCUCCAGGCGCCCUGGUGGCGCGGCUUGCCACCUGGCCGCGUGAAGAGACCGCAUGGGUGGGGCCCACCCCCUCUGGUGCCUUACCUUGGCUCCUAUUUUUACCCCCGUGGAGGAAACCCUGAGGCUGGAACCCUUUUCUCCAGAAGCAAAUCCGAUCUCCGCCGCCAUCGCCAACAAGUUUCGGGGGAAAAUAAUUCGUGUGGCGGCACCCUGCCGGUAUGGGGAAGUGCCCCGGAUUCAUCUCCAUCGACGUUGUUUCCUCCCUCCAUGAAGCCGGAGUAGUUGCUAUUCGGGGCUGAGGUCUUCUACAAUAGCUAUGUGGUUAAUUCUCUCUCCCAUGAUGUGAUCUUGAUUGUGAUCAUAGGCUAUGUUAACCUAGGGUGAUCCCAUGAUGUUUCCCCUUCUUCUAUGUAUUGGAUUGAUGUACUCACUUGAUCUUAUCUAGUAUAAUCCCUGAGACCAUGGUGACAGUGGUCUAUUGGACAUGGAUUAGAAGAAUAUUUUCAUGAGUGAUUUCCUCUUUUGUGAAUUGAUUGAAGAUUGACAGUCUCUUGGUGCUUGUCUUUGACUAUCCUUGAGAUAUGUUGUGGUGAUUGUGGUACUCUGUUUGGAUGGUCACGGUGACAUUGGGAAAUCCAUAGAUGAGAACUACAAACUUUGAGGUGUGCUUUUGUAGCCCUAUAUAAUUCUCGUCCUCUCUUGAUGACAAAGGAAUGACCUCCGAGUACGUCACCAUUGCAUGUUUUAGUGGAAAUAUCAUGUGAUUAGACUAUGUUAAUGUUGUUGGGAGUUGCCACCAGUGAAAGUAUGAAGCCUAGACCUUGUUUCUCACCAUUGUUAUAGCGUUUAUGCUCACUUUUGUCACUUGCUACCUUGCUGUAAUUUUUAUUACAUAUUUAUAUUACCUUGCUUUGCCAUACCUAUCAUCCAUAUUUUACCAUUUCUUCGUUGAACUAGUGCACCUAUUCAAUUUACCAUUGUAUUAGGUGUGUUGGGGACACAAGAGACUUCUUGUUUCUUAAUUGCAGGGUUGCUUCAUAGAGACCAUAUUCAACCUCUACUUUCCAGAGUUCGAUAAACCUUAGGUCAUCCAUUUGAGGGAAAUUGCUGCUGUCCUACAAACCUUUGCGCUUGGAGGCCCAACAUAGUCUACAAGAAUAGAAGCGUGUAUAGACAUCACUCGUGGUAAUUUCUGAUGGACUAGUUGGAGCACCACUGUAGGGUUAAAUUUUUCGGAAAGUCGUGCCCGCGGUUAUGUGGCAACAUGGAAACUUUGUUUAACAUCCGGUUCUAGAUAACUUGAAGUAAGCUUAAUUAAAAGAUGCCAACUGUGUGUGUAACCGUGACUGCCUCUUUCGCGAGUUUCUUCUUCGAUCGAGGACACGGUUGGGUUAUGUCUGACGUAAGUAGGUGUUUAGGAUCAUUCUUUUGAUCAUCAGUAGUUUACGUCCGCUAUGCGUAGAUCAUCCCCCUUUUAUUCUUGUACUCAUAAGUUAGGCACCUCAGAUAAAUGCUUAGAGCCGUGUUGCAGCCUCACCACUUAACCACACCUCACCCAUUAAGCUUUGCUAGUCUUGAUACCAUUGGAAAUGAGAUUGUUGAGUCCUUGUGGCUCACACAUUACUACAACUCUAGUUGCAGGUACAGGUAAAGAGUUACAUCGACGUGAGCGCGUUGAUUGUACAAUUUUGGAGUUUUUUCUUCUUCAUCAUCAAUCUAGGAUGGGUUCCAGGCCGGCAACCUGGGAUAGAAAGGAUGGACAUUGUUCUUUUAUCUUUUGUUUUCGUCCGUAGUCGGACCCUCCUCUUUUUCACGAUGACUGUAUAUUGGUGUACUGAUGUGACUCUGAUGUAGCUUGUGGCAUGUGGGGACCCCGUCUUACGAGUCGAGAUCGUUGAAUGAAUUUGCUCAGUGAUCCCAGAGAUCAAUGCUCACCGAACACACAUAUACUGAAUAUUAAGAGUCUUGCAUCCAACAUACCGAAAUAGUACAUCAAAUGACCAUCAAGGUCAAGUUCACAUAGGUAGGGCCUAUAAGUCCAAAUCACACCGAUCAAUCUACUAGCGGAAAUCUUGGGGCUAAGCGGGUGCCCAUGCCAUCAGCCAACACCAACAGGCAUUCUGACUAGGAAGCGUCCUAGUUCGCAGGUCCGUCUCCGAUGAUGAAUUCUUCUCCAAACUCCGGUCCUUCCAUGUGUGGUCAAUAACAUUACCAGUGGCAAGCCAGUGAGUACUUUGAAUGUACUCGCAAAUAGCCCAUGAUAUGGAUAAUGCAGUUGGUAUGAUAACAUGUAAUAUGCAGUACUCGUGGAUAACAACUUGAUUUUAAAUUAACAUGAUCAUAGAUGGAUGUGCAACAUAAGCUAGAUUGUAUUUAGAAGAACAUGUUACAUAUAUCAACAUAUCCGCUGUGGGCUGAACACUUCGGGUUCACCCAAUAUGCCAAGUCACCAAACUUGGUCAUAUCAACUCUUACUCAGAUAACUCCUUGAACACACACACUCACACUUGGUUUAUGCGGAAACGACUAGACAUAGUUUAAGCAGGAUUACCCAAUUGUCCUUGACCGUGGACACGACUAUUCGAAUAGUUUUACACUCUGCAAAGGUUGUAUGAUGUACCCACGAGAUCCGUGAAACUUCCAUGUCAUCCACGACUCGCGGUAUAUAACAUGCCCGAGGUAAGUACCCGAUGAAUGCCUUUCCCUUGACGAUACUAGAGAAAGAGUUCCACAUGAUUGGUACACAGCCCACAUGAUGUACGUCUUACAAGCACCCUCUCUGGACAGUACCAUCCAUGCGGGGACCAAUGGUAUGCCCGAAAUACGUAAAAACGGCAUAGUCGAGCUACCUGGUACGACCCCGUCACGAGAGUGACUACAAAUCACUCCCGCCACUAGUAAUGUGGCUCUUUGCUAGCACCGACCAAAGUAAUCAACAGAGCCCCGUCCCAUAAAAGGGUAACAUGGUCGCACAUGUAAGGUUGGGACGGUCGACACAUCAUAAAUUUAAUCCUAUUUCAGAAACCACUCACACCAAAAUAUUUCCCGGUGCACCACUUCUUCACAUGUGGUCACCUAACUCGUCAUCACCCUCGGCCAUUAGUGGCACCCAACGGGGUUUUCAUAAAACCGUUGAUAUUUACCAUCAUCAUUGCUCAUGCUUCUACUAUGCGUAGCACUACUGUUUACUUGUCAACAUAAUAUUGGCAUGACCCUCAUAGGUGGUAGGAUCAUUGAUACGUCCAAAAGCAUCACUAUAUUGUAUCAUAAUUUGUCUCUAUUCAUUGAUAUAUUUCACAAUAUGAUGUUGCUCUUAUAGUGUUUUGGCUUAUUUUACACAGUUUACAACUUUCCGGUGCCGAAACAGCAGACGUAGGAUUUAGCG